rnacentral:rRNA from 1 species
AUUGAACGCUGGCGGCAGGCCUAACACAUGCAAGUCGAGCGAGCGGCGGACGGGUGAGUAAUGUAUGGGGACUGCCCGAUAGAGGGGGAGAAAUUCUGGAAACGGUAGCUAAUAACGCAUACUAUCGGAUAACCCAUAUGGGAUUAGCUGGUAGGUGAGGUAAUGGCUCACAUAGGCGACGAUCCCUAGCUGGUCUGAGAGGAUGAUCAGCCACCCUGGGACGGAACCACGGCCCAGCCUCCUCCGGAGGCAGCAGUGGGGAAUAUUGGACAAGGGGCGCAGGCCUGAUGCACCCAUGCCGCGUGUAUGAAGAAGGCCCUAGGGUUGUAAAGUACUUUCAGUCGGGAGGCGUUACCGACAGAAGAAGCACCGGCUAACUCCGUGCCAGCAGCCGCGGUAAUAC